rnacentral:rRNA from 1 species
GAUCAUGGCUCAGAUUGAACGCUGGCGGCAUGCUUUACACAUGCAAGUCGAACGGUAACAGGUUAAGCUGACGAGUGGCGAACGGGUGAGUAAUGCAUCGGAACGUGCCCGGUCGUGGGGGAUAACGCAGCGAAAGCUGCGCUAAUACCGCAUACGAUCUGAGGAUGAAAGCGGGGGACCGUAAGGCCUCGCGCGAUCGGAGCGGCCGAUGUCAGAUUAGGUAGUUGGUGGGGUAAAGGCUCACCAAGCCGACGAUCUGUAGCUGGUCUGAGAGGACGACCAGCCACACUGGGACUGAGACACGGCCCAGACUCCUACGGGAGGCAGCAGUGGGGAAUUUUGGACAAUGGGCGCAAGCCUGAUCCAGCAAUGCCGCGUGCAGGAUGAAGGCCUUCGGGUUGUAAACUGCUUUUGUACGGAACGAAACGGUUCUUUCUAAUAAAGAGAGCUAAUGACGGUACCGUAAGAAUAAGCACCGGCUAACUACGUG